rnacentral:rRNA from 1 species
GUGGGGAAUAUUGGACAAUGGGCGAAAGCCUGAUCCAGCCAUGCCGCGUGUGUGAAGAAGGUCUUCGGAUUGUAGAGCACUUUAAGUUGGGAGGAAGGGCAGUAACUUAAUACCUUGCUGUUUUGACGUUACCAACAGAAUAAGCACCGGCUAACUUCGUGCCAGCAGCCGCGGUAAUACGAAGGGUGCAAGCGUUAAUCGGAAUUACUGGGCGUAAAGCGCGCGUAGGUGGUUCAGCAAGUUGGAGGUGAAAUCCCCGGGCUCAACCUGGGAACUGCCUCCAAAACUACUGAGCUAGAGUACGGUAGAGGGUAGUGGAAUUUCCUGUGUAGCGGUGAAAUGCGUAGAUAUAGGAAGGAACACCAGUGGCGAAGGCGACUACCUGGACUGAUACUGACACUGAGGUGCGAAAGCGUGGGGAGCAAACAGGAUUAGAAACCCUAGUAGUCC